rnacentral:rRNA from 1 species
GAUGAACGCUGGCGGCGUGCCUAAUACAUGCAAGUAGAACGCUGAAGGAGGAGCUUGCUCUUCUGGAUGAGUUGCGAACGGGUGAGUAACGCGUAGGUAACCUGCCUGGUAGCGGGGGAUAACUAUUGGAAACGAUAGCUAAUACCGCAUGACAACAGUUAUUGCAUGAUAACUGUUUAAAAGGGGCAACUGCUCCACUACCAGAUGGACCUGCGUUGUAUUAGCUAGUUGGUGAGGUAACGGCUCACCAAGGCGACGAUACAUAGCCGACCUGAGAGGGUGAUCGGCCACACUGGGACUGAGACACGGCCCAGACUCCUACGGGAGGCAGCAGUAGGGAAUCUUCGGCAAUGGACGGAAGUCUGACCGAGAAACGCCGCGUGAGUGAAGAAGGUUUUCGGAUCGUAAAGCUCUGUUGUAAGAAAAGAACGAGUGUGAGAGUGGAAAGUUCACACUGUGACGGUAUCUUACCAGAAAGAGACGGCUAACUACGUG